rnacentral:rRNA from 1 species
CCCUUAGACGUUCUGGGCCGCACGCGCGCUACACUGACCAGUGCAACAAGCAUCCGUCCUUGGCCGACAGGCUCGGGCAAUCUUUGAACGCUGGUCGUGAUGGGGAUAGACUUUUGCAAUUUUUGGUCUUCAACGAGGAAUUCCUAGUAAACGCAAGCCAUCAACUUGCAUUGAUUACGUCCCUGCCCUUUGUACACACCGCCCGUCGCACCUACCGAUUGAAUGGUCCGGUGAAGCCUCCGGAUUGGCGCGCACCUCGGUGCCGCCGAGAAGUUGGCUAAACCUUACCAUUUAGAGGAAGGUGAAGUCGUANCA